UGUUAACUCUUUUUUUAUUUUCGGUUACAAGACAAAUUAUGAUUUACAAUUUCAAUUAGAAUCUAUAAAAUCAAUUAGUUAAUUUGUUCUAAAUAAUGUUCAAUUGUACAAUUUAGUGAUGCAUUAGUAUGGAAAGCUAUGCUGUUUUUUUCUCGUUAAAACCAGAAAAGUCUCGUAAGUUACGAGUAGUAACUCAACAUGCAUUGCAAUAUGAUGAAGAUUACUGGUUGAAAAAGUGGAUUUGAUAAAUGUUUCAAUUGAUGCUGAUGAGAACAAUCAUGUAAUUGCUGUUAAUCCAGUUGAUGAAAACCAAGAGGAACUAAAAUCUGGGUUUCUGAUGAAAAACAAGGAGACAUUGACAUGGGUACAAAUUUUGCUUCUGUUAAUAAGGUGACCCCAUUUUAACCUCAAGUCAUCCUAAGGUUUUUAUCGUUAUUUCUUACCAUCCUCAUCUUUAUCCUCAUCUUCAUUUGUUACCUUCUUGCUGCCUUUCAUGAUACUGAGUCGUAUUUCAUGGGACGUGAAACAAUCAACUGAACAUCACACAACGCAAACUCCCAAGUGUCUGUUGAUCGAUUUUUGUGUCUCCAAAUACACAAAACACCUUUCAUCUACUUCUUCCUUCUUCUUCAUCUUCCUUCAACAUCUUAUCUUCUUCUUUUUCAUCAUCAUCAUCAUCAUUAUCAUCCUCCUCUCUCUCUCUUUCCCUUUCUCUUCCUUUACGUGUUUUCAUUCCUAAGUGAGAUUCAAGUAAAUUACUGGGCAAAAAAACUAAGAAAGGUUGUAACAAUUAACGAUUAAUGGCUAACUUUUUGUUUAUGGAUCAGUCUACAAAUUGGCUUGAAAAUUGUAAUUGUUGAUUGAUGGGUCAACAGCAAUCAAUCUCAUCAUCAAAAAGUUGUUCCUCAUGAAAAGUCAAAGCAUCAUUAUAAAUCAAAUAAAACUAAACCGGACAAGAUGGACCAGAAAUGGCUGAAUCAGGAAUGACCGAAGCAAAAUGGAAAGAAUCAGGAAUGGUCAAACAAUCUAAAAUUGAACCACAGAGUUGAAAUUGUUAAGGACCAUAAAGUCUAACCAUUAAGUGAAACCAGAAAAGCUAACCAGAAAGUCUAACCAGAAAGUUGAAAUAGAUUAAUCAAUAUGUAUCGGUGUUUACAUUGUUACGCAUAGAAGCCUAUUAUAUCUAAUCUGAUAUUUAAUCAUUUUCAAUUAGAUACUUGAUUGACUUUUUAAGGUUAAAUAUUAUGUUGUUCAACAAUUUUGUCGCCUGCGUAAUUUGAUUACUGAGUCAACAGUAAAUGUAUUCCUUUAAUUGGUAUACUUUUUGCAAAUGUUUAUUGAAUCUUCAAUUGAAACUCUAUCUACCUGCUUGAUCAUGCUGAGCUUAAAUAAUAAAUUUAAUCAGAGUAAUGGAUCAGAUCAAACUGAUUGAUUUACAUCGAAAUAUUAACAAAUAUUAAAUAGCAGAAAAAAAAGUUAAUAAAUUUGCCUUGUUAAUAGUUGAUCAAAUACGAAGAUAUAUUUAUAAUUGAUGCUUGGUUCAUCAAUUGCAUUUGUUAAGUUCAGCAAUUAUGGAUCAAGAAAAAUGAAUAAAUUUAGGUAAAACGAUUGUAAAAUUGGUUGUAACACUUGAAAUUGUAUAGUCAAUUGAAUUUAUCUUUGAAUAACAGCUGAAUCAUGUAACUCUAUUUAUUUAUGUAUUUUUGAAUGUUAAGGUCAAGAACUAUUUCUUCUUCUUUCCUCUCCUUUUUUUAAUACUGUUAAAGCUGUUUUACAUGUUUUUCCGUGGUUCACUGGAUCCAGGAUGGUGAAAAAGAGGAUUCAGAAAUGAACAUAGAGAUUGAUACAGUUGAAGGGGAAAAAAAGUAAAAUCAAUAAAAAGCUUUAUGUAAAAUAAUUAUUGGUCAACAGAGAAAAGGCUCUCCACUAAAUAAAUGUAAACAUAAACACAGAAAAAGGAGGCUUUUCUUCUCAUAUCAUAUUUAAGUUGAUCUAAAUUCAAUCGUGUCAUAUUGAUUCAAAUAUAAUCAGUUAAUUCAAUUGAAUUUAAUAUUAAAGUGGAUGAUUGAAGGUGUCAAAAAAGGCGCCUUCAUGGAUCAGCCAAUGUAAAUGCUUGAAAAAGGCGCAUUUAUUUAUAUCUUUCACUUUUACUCUUUUGUCCCUUCUUCUGGUUUCUGUUCAUGACAGCUUUGUUUGUCUUCAUUUUUAUAUUUGAUGUCCGUUAUUUAAAUUACCAGUGUACAGUUUGAUGAUCAAUUAAUUAUCAGUGAAUGUAUUAAAAUGUGUUACUUACUUGACUCUCUACCAAAGUUGCCAUAUCUAGAAACAUUUCGUGUAAUUCAACUAUACUUUUUUCUAACUUUUUAAUAUCUGCAUGGCGAGCUUCAAUAUCUGCCAGUGUUUGCCUCAUCUGAGCUGUAUCUGUAACAAUCUGUGAUUUAUAUAACAAUUGGAAAAAAAGACAAAAACAAAUGUUUAAUCAACAUAUUAUUAUGGUAAAAUCAACUGGACAUGUUUUCAAUCAAUUGAGACAUGUAUAAAUAAAAUGGCUUACCCCUUCUGUAAAUAUUUGAGCGCUUUCACCACUUUCAAGCAUUUCUUCAACCUCCUCUGCUGUUGUUGUCUUACCAGCUAUUUAAUUAAUAGUUAAUCAAGAAUCCAGGAGAAAACAUAAAUUAUUAGUUAAUACAAUGUAACAUAAAUUUUAUUCCAAGUAUCCUUGUAACUUUAACUUCGCAAUCAAUGAUUGAUCAUUACAAUGGUGAUAACAAUGCUUCUACAGCUUUCUAUCAAUGCUUAAUUGUCUAUCCAUUUUUUAUUUCCAAUGAAAUGAGAUAAGCAUUUUGGAAUACCGAAUUAACCACAAAUUGGUGCUUAAAGCUGUCAUGUAUCCGGCUCGUUAAAUUUGCUGUUAAGCGAUCAAAGGAAAAUCAAGCUGAUAAAAGGUGCUAAAUUAUCAAUUAGACUCAUCUGCUUCAAGUUAAUGCUAUCUCCAUGUUGGAUCUAUUUUUACCAUUGAUUUUGAAAUUCGGAAUGCAUAAGUAUGGUGCAAUCGAGUCACGCAGACCUGGACCAUUGGACCUGGGCCAACUUACCAAUUUCAAGUUGUCGUUGUAUCCUUGCUUUACACCUUUCUCGGUAAUCGACUUGGGUUUGAUUGUAGUCUGUCAUUGUUUGAACAAACUUCUGUAAAAGCAUUGAAUGUUGAGUUUUCCUGAUUCGAAAAUCGGCCGACAUAUCACCGGAUUCCUCCAUCUUCUCUAUCUCCUGUUCCAUUGCUUUUAAUCGGCCACGAACCACAUUUGAAUUUUUCUUAAUCGUUGUCAUCAGACCAUCUAAUUGAACCUUCAGCUCUAAAUUUUUUGGACAAGAUAAAAGGGAGAAACAACAAAAACAAAUAUGUUAUAAAAACGGAAAAGGGUAAUAAGUUAAGCUAAUUUUAAUGUUCAUCAUCAUCAACAUAAUAUACACAUUAUAAUGUACAUUUAUAAUAAUAACCACAAUAAUGUCUAGUUAAUAAGUUAAAUCAAGAAACAAGAUCAGAAUGGUAGAAAAAUGAAGUAAAGUCACCAAAAUUCAUAAUAAUUUUUAUCUAAUAAAACCACUUUUUGUGUGUUCAACUACAGUAAAAGUAUCAUUAUGGAUAAUGGUUAUUAUAAUGAUUUAAUUAAAAUAGUAAGAAUCGCUUCUAAAAGUGAUUAACAUAAGAUUAAGAUAAUUGAUCUUUAUUAAAAUAAAUUACAAUGUUUUUCA